GCUCAAGUGGCGGAAUUGGUAGACGCGCACGGUUCAGGUCCGUGUGCCCAUUGCGGGCAUAGGGGUUCAAGUCCCCUCUUGAGCA
rnacentral:tRNA from 1 species